UACGUAGGGUGCGAGCGUUAAUCGGAAUUACUGGGCGUAAAGCGCGCGCAGGUGGUCUUUCAAGUCAGUGGUGAAAGCCCGGAGCUCAACUCCGGAAAUGCCAUUGAAACUGUAAGACUUGAGGAUGAGAGAGGUGAGUGGAAUUCCCAGUGUAGAGGUGAAAUUCGUAGAUAUUGGGAAGAACACCGGUGGCGAAGGCGGCUCACUGGCUCAUAUCUGACGCUCAGGCGCGACAGCGUGGGGAUCAAACAGG
rnacentral:rRNA from 1 species